rnacentral:rRNA from 1 species
GAUGAACGCUGGCGGCGUGCCUAAUACAUGCAAGUCGAGCGAACAGACGAGGAGCUUGCUCCUCUGACGUUAGCGGCGGACGGGUGAGUAACACGUGGAUAACCUACCUAUAAGACUGGGAUAACUUCGGGAAACCGGAGCUAAUACCGGAUAAUAUAUUGAACCGCAUGGUUCAAUAGUGAAAGACGGUUUUGCUGUCACUUAUAGAUGGAUCCGCGCCGCAUUAGCUAGUUGGUAAGGUAACGGCUUACCAAGGCAACGAUGCGUAGCCGACCUGAGAGGGGGCGGGCCCACACGGGAGGUGGAACCGGGCCAGGACCCCGGGGGGAGGCACAGGUAGGAAUUCCUCCGAAGGGGGGGAAAGUUGGACGGAAACGCCCGGGGUGAGGAAGAAAGGUCUUGGAAUCGAAAACCUUUUUUAUGGGGAAAAAAAAAAUGUGUAAGAACCUGUCCACUUCUUGACGGUACCUAAUAAAAAAGCCCCGGCUAACUCGGGG